rnacentral:rRNA from 1 species
UUUCGCAAUGCCCGAAAGGGUGACGAAGCGACGCCGCGUGCGGGAAGAAGGCCUUCGGGUUGUAAACCGCUGUCGGGAGUUAGGAAAUGUAAGGAUGUUAAUAGCAUCUUUGCUUGACUAAGGCUCCGGAGGAAGCCACGGCUAACUCUGUGCCAGCAGCCGCGGUAAUACAGAGGCGGCAAGCGUUGUUCGGAAUUAUUGGGCGUAAAGAGCACGUAGGCGGCUAUGUAAGUCGGUUGUGAAAGCCUUCCGCUCAACGGGAGAACAGCAUCCGAUACUGCAUGGCUUGAGUGCGGGAGGGGAGAGUGGAACUUCUGGUGGAGCGGUGAAAUGCGUAGAUAUCAGAAGGAACGCCGGCGGCGAAAGCGGCUCUCUGGCCCAUAACUGACGCUGAGUGUGCGAAAGCUAGGGGAGCAAACGGGAUUAGAUACCCCGGUAGUCCUAGCCGUAAACGAUGGGCACUAAGUAGAGGGGUUUUAAUCUC